UACGUAGGUGGCAAGCGUUGUCCGGAUUUAUUGGGCGUAAAGAGCUCGUAGGCGGCUUGUCGCGUCGUCCGUGAAAACCUGGGGCUCAACCCCAGGCUUGCGGUCGAUACGGGCAGGCUAGAGUUCGGUAGGGGAGACUGGAAUUCCUGGUGUAGCGGUGAAAUGCGCAGAUAUCAGGAGGAACACCGGUGGCGAAGGCGGGUCUCUGGGCCGAUACUGACGCUGAGGAGCGAAAGCGUGGGGAGCGAACAGG
rnacentral:rRNA from 1 species